ACGGAGAAAACAAAGUCUCCCAUGUUCUCCUCAUUCGUGUUUAUCAAAAUAAACUUCCGUUUACCAAAAAAAAAACAAAAAAAACAAAUUCCUCCUCAACUUUCCCCAUUCAAUUCCUCAGAUCUCUUUUCUUCAAUCAAUUUCAUCAAAGCUCUUCAAAUUUCUUGAGAACCCCUAAUUUUAACUUUUCCUAUUCGAUUUUUCAGAUAUUUUUUCUUCCAUCAAUUUCAUUAGAACACUUCAAAUUUCUUCAGAACCCCUAAUUUCUAAAUAAACAGGAUCGUAGAGAACAUUCAAUUAUCAAAAGAAGAAGAGAAUCAUCGUCAAAAGGUGAAGAAACCGAGAGAAGAGGACAAAUAAAGACGCGAAUCGUUUUUCUUGUGCAGAUUUUUGCAAGAUUAAGGAAAGCUAUCUCCACUGAUGAGUUGGGUUGUAGCUUCAAAAAUUUUCGAUGGUGCAUAAGGAACAAAUAUAUAUAUUCAGUUGGAAAACCUACGAAGGUAGAAAUUUAUUCAGUUGGACAACCUGCAAAAGAAGGUACAAAUUGGGUAGGUUCGAAACUUCUCGUGGUUGAAGGGAUACAGGUAUUCUUGAGAAGAAAGAAAAGCUAUUUAAUUUCGAUCUACAGGUGAACAAUGUAUGUAAUUAGGUAAUGCGUAUUUUACUGGUUGUAUUAAUUAGGUAACUUUGGAUUUCUUUUUUUCUUGAGAUUAUUUAUAUGUUUUUCGGUUUAAGCCUUCUAUGUUGGUGCAGGCUGAUGGACUUAAGAAAGCUCAUCAAGAUAUGAAAGAAACAAUGGGAGAAUUUCGUGAAAUUCAUAAUGGUUACUGACGAUGCAAAGAUGGUUGUUGUUUGAGAAUAUGAAAAAUUCAAGGUAAUAUCAGUUGUUGACAUCCUACCUAGUAUUGGGCUAUGCUUACGCGAACUAGUGAAUUUGUUAUCUGUGAUUAUUGAAAUCGCACAGUUGCAAGCAAAAGUGCCAUGAAAAUUUCAUUUAUGUAGGUUUUUUACUGUUGUUAACCUAGAUAGAUACACUAACUAUAUGUUCCUUAUUGAAAAAGCGGGGGUCUAACAACCAUACCCAAUAUUUCGGUUUGCAA